rnacentral:rRNA from 1 species
UACGUAGGGUCCGAGCGUUGUCCGGAAUUAUUGGGCGUAAAGGGCUCGUAGGCGGUUCGUCACGUCGGGAGUGAAAACUCGGAGCUCAACUCCGAGCCUGCUUCCGAUACGGGCAGACUAGAGGUAGGCAGGGGAGAGCGGAACUCCUGGUGUAGCGGUGGAAUGCGCAGAUAUCAGGAAGAACACCGGUGGUGAAGGCGGCUCUCUGGGCCUUACCUGACGCUGAGGAGCGAAAGCGUGGGUAGCGAACAGG